rnacentral:lncRNA from 1 species
GCUACCUUUGUCUAUUUACGAGUAAGUGUUAGUUUGGAAGUACUGCACAUACUUCGAUUGGCUUUUAAAUUAAGCAUGGUGCUUAGGUUAAACAACCUUCCUUAAUCUGAUUAGACAUGGAGUCUAGUUCGGCUAUUGAACUAAAAAACUGCUUGUGUAGACAUUGGUAUAUUUUUGUCGGACUAACCCCUGUAGAAAAAAAAACUUUCAAUAUCGAUUUGGGAAGUCCUGAGAUAAACUCACAUCAGAGACAAAGAGAGUGACACAUGAAGUUUAGCAAUUUGCACAAGAAGGACAUAGCUCAUUCAUCAUAGAGAGAUGAUCCAUGGAGGGUGCCACAAACACGAUGCACAACCACUAUGAAAGGAAAGCUUCCUCAAGGUGAUACUGUACCAUCACUCUUCAAGCAAGGUAACAUCUUAAGGUACUUGACUAUCACUUUUAUAAGCUUCUCCUUAGUUCUAGCGUUCAUAUAAAUAAAAGAGACAAACAUGUAUGAUUUACAACUCUAGAUUAACCAACCCAACUGAUUCAACAUGUUUAGUCCUUUAAUCCUUGUUCUUAGUACUACCUCCAUGAUCCCACACUCCUAAUCAUAUGAGCUAAAAUGUUACACAUUCAAUCAUUGAGAGAUAUAAAGAAAAAAGACAUAUACAUAGAUAGAUUAUCUUUCCAUAAGGUUGAGCGAUCUGAUCUGACAAAUGUUAUAAGUGCUACACUCAUAAACUUUUCAUCCAUCAACUUUGUCUUGCUCACUAUGCUUAGGGUUAGAGAAGAACAAAUACACUUUAGGUUCUGUUGGUGUUUUCCACCAACAGGACCCAUGCACUUGAUCUCUGCCUUGUCUCUAUGAGCAGGUACACUUUGAGCAAAACACGGAGGAGUUUUAUAACUCUCAGACUCUACCAAAUGAAGGACCUGGAUCUACGAGCACAAACACACUGAGCAGGUUACUGCCAACGCCGCACUUCGAACUGCUGGGCAAACGAAGAACAUGGGUGACACUGUAUCAAGAGGUGCAGACGUCAAGGUCCGCACCUGAAUCAAAUGACGCACCUGAAAAAUGAACACGGUGAGAAGUCUUGUUAAGAAGACUUAAAACAUUGAACCAUCGCCGAAAGGUAAGAUCGGUAUCCUUUCUGCAUUCCCGUUUACCUUUAAUUAUUUACUUUCCUUAAAUAGAUUAUUAGUUAAUCAUGCUAUCUGGAAAAGAAAAUAAAAAUGUUAAAAAAUACUAAGCCCCAUGUGAGUAUACGAGUGGCAUAAAACCCAUAAGUACCUUCACUGUGGUGCAAUAAAAAUAAAAUAAAUAUUUCUUUUCUGCUUUAUAAAAUAAAAAUAUAAAAAUAGAGAGUAAUAUUUAUUGAGGAAGCUCAACAUGAUGAAGGCUAGAUAUUUAUGCUAACACUUAAUUAGUUCCACAAGCUUUGUUGUCUAUUUGAGCUCCACAAAAUUUAAGAAGACUAGCAGACGGAGGACAUUCUAAUCGCUGUCAGAAUGCUGCUGACUUUCAAAUACACCUCUGCCACCUGCUAGCUACAUCAAGAGAAAUUACGUCAAAAUUCAGCUUGGGGGAGAGCACCCCCAUUUAUCUCGCUAAGUAUUUCUACCUAUCUUUAUACUUAUAUUAUAUUAGAAUAUUAAAAUACAUAAACUAUGAAAAACCAAAUAAAGAUUUUGUGCUUAUAUAUAUCUUUUGCUUAGUAUGUUUAAUAAAUAAAUAAAGUGGCUAUGUUAAUCUGAAUCUUAAUAAUAAAACUCUAGCAUGGAUAUGAUGAAUAGUUGCUCUGCCUAAUUUGCAAAUUUGAAGUUCUCUCUCAAGUUUAGACAUAACUGUUAUAAUUUAAAGCUUGCUCUAGAUCUAAACUUGUGGGAUGAAACCUUGAUCUGACAUCUAAGUUGUUAACGGAUAUGAUAUGGGAAGGUUGAGCUGCUGUUUAUCUGUUCCUAGAGAUGCUAGAAUUCUGGAGAAUUUUAUCUUUGAAAAAUCUUUAAAAUAUUGCAUGAUGAGUUCCUGUAUGAUGAAAGUUUAAAUUCCUACCACAGCCAUAUAUACAUGCUUGCUAGACUUUGAGCCACACAUUUAUUAUUUAGUGCUUAUGAGCAUUGAGUGUGGUCAAGCUGUGUAGACCCUUAAGAGCUUGUCAUGUGGUUAAAUCAAGCUUCACUUGCACGUUCACUCAUAUAUGCUACUUCUACUCCGGAAGUACCAUCCACAUAUAUCCAUCCAUGUCCAUCUCCAGAACCACCCAAAAAUAUUCUACUCCAAAUCCGGGAGAGAAUAGCCGAAAAUAUUUUUGUUUUCCCUUGUGAAAUAAAUGCUCAAGUUAUCUUGCUACUACCACUUGCUAUAUUAUCUCAAGAGAUGAGUGCUCUGAAAAAAAAGAAAAAAAAAGAAGAAAAAAAAGAAGAAAAAAAAUAUACGAGGAAAUAAAAAGGGGCAAGUGCUCGGAACCUCGAAUGAAAAAAAAAGAGUGAGACGAGAGGUAAAAAUGGACAAGUGUCCGACAGUAGAAUUAGGGGUACAAGAUACCCACCUGAGAGGAAAGAAAAAGAAGAGCAUCUCAUUCUCCUCAUAAAGUUUCAAAAAGCAAGGAAGGUAUGUAUCCCCUCAAAAGAGCAAAAGUAGAAUUAGACUUCCACCAUUGUUAUCACCAUCAUCACCAUGCACCAUUCAUUCGCCACACAUGCACAUCUUGAUUUGGCUUAUUGAUUUGUUUCUUUGGAUCCAUGGUUUGACUAUACAAUAAAUGUCUUGUAAGUAUGUAUUAGUUGUCUCCCACCUAUGAGCUCCAGAUAUUAAAGCCUUAUUAGAGUAGGGUGAGAGAGAAGGCAAUGUCACUAUGCCUUAUACCACAAAUACCACAUAUCUUGAGAGAAGGCAUAUACCAUCACUGCCUUGGUAAGGAUCCAGAAAUACCACAAAAGAGAGAUUUAGAGAGUCAUACAAGGAAUCUCUGAGUUUUAUUUGAAAAUCUGCAAAAACUCCAGAGCUAUAGCUGAUCAAGAAUAAGAGACAUGGCACUUGGCUAGACUGUUGUAUCUUUUAAC